GAAAAAAAGAUCUAUUAUCUACCAAGGGGUGGAAAGCUGAGAUAGCUUCCAGAGGUACUCUGAUAGAGCUAACUGAUAGACUUUGAUGUUUUAGGUGUAAAAGACCACCCAAUACAUGACUGAUAAGAGCUUACUUGGAGGGAACAUUUUUGUCGGGACCGGAUGAAAAAACAUUUCUAUUAGCCAGAUAAGUACCCCUUCUUGAAGCUUUAUACUAUUCAGAAGUACUUUCUGUAUGUUCUUAGAGCAAGCCCUUUCCAAUGGUGUUAACCAUGAAGCAUCCACUCUGUCAAAUGGAGUGCUUGUAGGCUGGGGUGAAGCAGAUGCCAAUGGCCCUGGGUAAUCAUGCAUAGAUCCAAUGGGAGAGAUAAUGGAGGUCUGACUGACAAGAUUGGCAGGGUUGAGUACCAGUGUUGCUGAGGCCAUGCUGGUGCUAUAAGUAUGAGGUGAGCCCGGUCAUUGACAAGACUCUGAGCAGUAAUGGAAUCAGAGGUAAGGCAUAUAAAAGUAAUUCUUCCAGGAUAGCAGGAAUGUGUCUGUCAAUGAACCUGGAUUGUAAACAUUACUGAUGGCAUUUUCCGUUGGCCUGUGUUGCAAAUAGGUCCACCUGGGGUGUCCCUCACAGCUGGUACAUGAAUCUGGCCAUGUCUGGAGACAUGGAACUCUGAUGGUGAUUAGGGAAGAACCUGCUCAGCUGAUCUGCCAACAAAUUCUGCACUCCUGGAAGGUGCAAACGUUUCUACGCUCCCCCUAUUAUCUCUGUCCCUGCAGUUAUUGCAGAUUAGAAGGCGAAAAAAAUGCACUCGCGAGGACAUGUUUGCCGAGCUCAUGCAGUCCUCCUGCACGGAUAGGGCACAGUUUAUUGCAUGGAGGCGUGCAGUGGCAGAGGCCAGGAAAGAAUCAAGUGAGCGCGAAGAGUGGAGGCAGGACGCAAUGCUGAGGCUAAUGGGGGAGCAAACGGACAUGAUGAAGCAUCUGUUGGAGCUGCAGGAAAGCCAACAAGAGCACAGACCCUCCCUGCAUCCACUGUAUAACCGCAUGCCUUCCUCCCCAAGUUCCAUAUCUGCCUCACCCAGACGCCCAAGAACGCGGGGGGGAGACUCCAGGCAGGCAGCCAGCCACUCCACUCCACUCCAGAGGAUGGCCCAAGCAACAGAAGGCUGUCAUUCAAACAGUUUGAUUGUUCGUGUGACUACAAUAAACAAUGUGGCCUUGUCCUUCCCUCCUCUCCCACCCCACCCGGGCUACUUUGUCUGACCUAAUUUUUAGUGUAGACAUACCCUAAGAGAUUAAGUGAUUUCUCCCAAAGCCAAACAGCAGGUAAGUAGGAGUGCAGGAAUUAGAACUAAGCCGCCACUGGCUCUUUAGUCCUCUAUUCAUGCUGCUUCUUAAAAUGUGACUACAGGCUUAAUAGAAAAGUUGAGAAUUUAUACUGUCUAAUAGUAAUUGCCUAUCAACUGAUUUAUAGAAGUUCAGUUAAGUGAACCUCACAGCAUAUCUUGCAAGUCAACAAAUCCAUGCUCUGUCAACUCAUGAAAAGACUAGCUUUCUACUAUAACUCAGCUAAAAUACGUUAUUACAUAAUUAGAAAAUAAGAUACCAAGAAAGCAUAGGUUUGCAGUGGGACAACACCAUAACGUGGGUAUACUAUGCAUGAGGCAAAAAGCAGAGCACAGCAACCACCCAAGAAGAGGAAACAUCCCACCACAACACACACUGGAAUAUGUUUACAGCUAUUAUAAAACUGGCAUUAGGUUAGUUUCAGAUUAAAAUUUUUAAUACAACAAAAAUUGCAUAUCUUAAUGUAACACCCAAUUAUGCAGAAUUAAACAGAACUAAGGUUAGGAUCUGUCCUCUGGUGUCCAUGCCUUAUCAUGGGACAGCUUGCGUGCUCUAACGAUCCCCAGAGUCUGUGUUGGUGGGGGCUUUUUGCUCCUGGUAGGUUCUACCAGGCUUGACUGGUCUGUGAGGGAGGGGCCAGACAAAACAUACCCUGGUCCUCCAGGUUGGGGGUUAGGCACAGGGCUAACAACCUUGUCCCGUAAAAAAAAUGUUACGGAAACAGCAACAGAGAAAUCUACCAUCACUGUGUGUGAUGGCCUUCAGGAGUCAAUGACCCAUAUGACUGCCAGUGGUGAAAGCCAAAAGGAAGCCACUGGCAUGAAGACUGAAGUGCUCAACACCAAGACAAAAACCAAGGGUUUUUGGAACAUACGGACAAUGUAUGAAACAGGGAAGCUAGCUCAGAUCACAGCAGAGAUGAGACGCUACAGCUCACACAUGCUGGGUGUCAAAGAGAGCAGAUGGAUGGGAUCAGGAAGACUAACAACAGCCUUGGGAGAAACUUUGCUGUUUUCUGGAUGGGAUGAUGGACAACACCAUGAGGGUGUUGCCAUCCUUUUGAAGAAGGGAGUGGAGCAUUCCCUGCUUUAAUGGAAAUCCAUCAGCAGCAGACUUAUGAGAUCCAGACUGAAAGGGAAAUAUAAUAAGAUCCUGAUUCAGUGCUCUGCCCUGACAAAUGACAGUGAUGAGGAAGUAAAGGACAAAUUCUACUUUUAACUCCGCCUGUAGUGUGAGAGAGUACCACACCACAACCUAACUAUUGUCAUGGGAGACCUGAAUGCCAAGGUCAGUAAGGACAACACAAACAACAACAGAGCAAUGGGAAGACAUGGGUGUGGCACCAUGAAUGAAAAUGGAGAAAGGCUUGUUGAUUUUUGUAAUAUGAAUGACCUAGUCAUUGGCGGAACCCUAUUUGAACAUCGGGAAAUUCACAAGCUGACAUGGUGUUCUCCAAAUGACAGAGAUAAGAACCAGACUGACUAUGAUCAAUGGCAAAUGGCGACGCUCACUGACAGAUGUGAAAGUGAGAAGGGGUGCAGAUGCUGGUAGCAACCACCACCUUGUGACAGCCUCCAUCAAGCUAAAACUGAGAGGUGUCCACCAAACAAGGGACAGACAUUAUGAUACUGACAAGCUGAAGUCCCUUGAAAUACAGAAAGCCUUUGUUCUGCAGUUAAAGAACAGGUUUCAAGCACUUGCAGACCUUGAUGAAGAGGAGGGGAAUGCAGGAUUCUGAUAGUGGUUGAAAACUUGUAUAAUUUCUGUUCACAACUGUUGUCUACAUAGCUGCUUCACAUAAGAUUUUACAUCUCCAGAUAGAGGAAAACAGCAAAAAUAAUUAACACAUGUGCAGUACUUUACAUUUUCAAAAUACUGUUUAACCAUUAAAUUAAUGUGUAUAUAUUAUAUGCACUGUACUACAACGUCUUGGCUCAGCAGGGUGAAUUAAGAAGAGUGUCAGAUUAGAUUAACAUUAAUUUUAUAUUGUUUUUUGUGGUUUGAUAUGUAUUAUUUCAAGCUUUCUUUCUGAUUUUAAAUCAGAAAAUGACAAGUGAAAAAUGGACACUUCUUUGUAUUUUUGAAAAAGGAUAAAUGCAAAGUCCACACAGAGAAACUUUAACUCAUAGGCAGGAAAAUAUUUCUUAUACUGGGAGCAAACUGUCCUCUCUGUCCUUGUGCCAGAGGAACUUGGGCAUGCUUCACAGGGGACACCACUGGGUUCUCUGGUAGGUUACUAGUCAUACUACUUUUCUAGCAUUUACUAAUAACUAAUUAAAGGAGCAGUCUUCUUGGAUAUCCAGAAAGAAGCCAAGUAAGGCUCAUAACUUGAGGUCAGAGGCUGUAAAGGGCAGACAGACAGAGGUGAAGAAUAGGGAGAUAAAUAAUGAAAGGUGACUGAAGUAGAAAAAUGUAAUUAAGUCCCUCUGAAGGUUACAAGAACCUCAAUAGAAGACCAAGAGCCCACCAUACAAAGAAUAAUGAGCUCAACACAUCUAUGCAUAGGAAUACCCUCACAAGUACUUUCAGAGGCCCUCAAUGAAUAAAGUGGCCAACAACAAUACAAACGGAAUUCCUUUAGCUUGUUGUGAUAAACAAUCACUGGAAAAGGUAAAACACAGGUCAGAGUAUUAGAUUCAGAAAAAUCCUCUGAUCACAGAAAAACCCUCUAUCACCACAGAAAAUGUUCAGACUCACAUUAAGGAGCGACAAAAAUAUUUGUAAUGAUUUAUUGCCUGUUGACUCAAGUGAUAUUGACUCAGUUUGGACAGUCUAUCCUAGGGCAGUUGUCCUAGGAAAGCUUCCAGAAUUUUUACCACUACUUGUGGAAAGUGCUGAUCUGAAGCCACAGGAAACAGACAAGUCAAAGACAACCCAUUCCUUUUGGAUUUUCAGAUAAAGUUUCACUAAAACAAAGAGACUUCAUUAGUUUCUGAUGGAGUAUUUAUCUAGUAGCACAUGUACAACGAUAAAUUAAAAAUUGCUGCCCUGA